UCAUACCUCUGUAGAGCGACAGCGAUCAACAUACAAGAUGCAUACUACGGUAGCAGGAGGCGUGAAACUGAACUUCUUGAAAUCUACGUGGCUGUUAGUGCUGUAGUAAGUUCUUCAGUUAAGGCGAUAUGAGACCUUCAUGCUACCAAAGUUACCAUGUGCUAGCUAUGUAACCAGUAAGCGGUAAGCCCAUAUGUUCUUCGGUUGAGGCGAUAUAUGAGACCUAGGCACCUAGCAGAAAGAGUAUCGAGCUCGUUACACUUUUAAGGAAGUUGCUGAUGGGCAUAGUUAGAGAUUAUGGAUGCUGCCAUGCUGUUUACUUGGUUGCCUACUUGUCUUGCCUGUGUUUUUACUUAAUAGAAUUGCAUUUCUCCCGAGUGAUAAUAUGGCUGAUGGCUCUAGUCCAGUUUCUAUAGGACGAAUAGUGUACUACUCCCUCCAUCCCAAAUU
rnacentral:lncRNA from 1 species